AAAUUCAGGAAUCGGAUUUCGUGGAGUUUUUCACAUGUCAACUAUAAGAACUGAUCGACUACCAAUGGCAAGUUAGCCUGGUACAUGAGAAUUGCCUGUGGAAGUCUAGAAAUUUAUUAUAAUUAUUUUAUUUAAAGCUGAAAAGAGAAAAAAAGUUGUUCAAAUUUUUUUUGGUGAAUGGCAUGCUUUGUCGUCGCCAAUGCAAGUUCUAAGCGGCGAUAUCAGUUCAUUUUUAUAUCCAUCGAUUGCUAAUUAAU